GAACGGCCGCACGGGAGCAAUCCUGGUGGCGAGUGGCGAACGGGUGAGUAAUGUAUCGGAACGUACCUUUCAGUGGGGGAUAACGUAGCGAAAGUUACGCUAAUACCGCAUAUUCUGUGAGCAGGAAAGCAGGGGAUCUUAGGACCUUGCGCUGAUUGAGCGGCCGAUAUCAGAUUAGCUAGUUGGUGAGGUAAAGGCUCACCAAGGCGACGAUCUGUAGCGGGUCUGAGAGGAUGAUCCGCCACACUGGAACUGAGACACGGUCCAGACUCCUACGGGAGGCAGCAGUGGGGAAUUUUGGACAAUGGGCGCAAGCCUGAUCCAGCCAUGCCGCGUGAGUGAAGAAGGCCUUCGGGUUGUAAAGCUCUUUCGGCCGGGAAGAAAUCGCAUGGGUUAAUACCCUGUGCGGAUGACGGUACCGGCAUAAGAAGCACCGGCUAACUACGUGCCAGCAGCCGCGGUAAUACGUAGGGUGCGAGCGUUAAUCGGAAUUACUGGGCGUAAAGCGUGCGCAGGCGGUUUGUUAAGAUGGGCGUGAAAUCCCCGGGCUCAACCUGGGAACUGCGCUUAUGACUGGCAAGCUAGAGUACGGCAGAGGGGGGUGGAAUUCCACGUGUAGCAGUGAAAUGCGUAGAGAUGUGGAGGAACACCAAUGGCGAAGGCAGCCCCCUGGGUCGAUACUGACGCUCAUGCACGAAAGCGUGGGUAGCAAACAGGAUUAGAUACCCUGGUAGUCCACGCCCUAAACGAUGUCAACUAGGUGUUGGAAGGGUAAAACCUUUUAGUACCGGAGCUAACGCGUGAAGUUGACCGCCUGGGGAGUACGGCCGCAAGGUUA
rnacentral:rRNA from 1 species